CUUCAGAUAGCUCAGUGGUCUAGAGCAGUCGCCUGGCAAGCGAAAGACCCGAGUUCGAUUCCCCGGUCUAUAGC
rnacentral:tRNA from 1 species